CGAGGUGGUGAUUUCGUGAGCCGCGUCGGAACCCGCACACCCUUCCUCGAAUCCCAUUUACCCAACGCGAGCUUUUCUAAUUCUGUCGCAUCAUCUCAUCGCUGUCAUCGACGCGUCUACCAACUUCGCCAUUUCAGCUCACGAGGUGGUGCACUGGCGCAAUUUGAAGCCUGUUCUGAUGGCGUGAGAAGGCCCUCUGUUUCAAAUCAAGUAAAUGACAUCUUUCUUAAAACCUACACAAAAACAUGUUGCAUGGUUUUGAGCCACACUCUGCGGUGCAACUUCCUUCAGAAAAAGCAUGACUGUGUCUGCUUCAAAAACCUCCCAUUGUUUCAAUUUUAUCAUCCCAUGGGAUGUUUCUUCAAUAUUAAGUCUUGGACGAACAUGCAUCCUUUCUGAACAGUUCUCAGAU